AGGCUUCUCCUGUUUGACCCACCUCUACACUGACGCAAUCAAUGGAAAGAGGGCUCCAGUGCCCUGUACAACAAAGAAACUAAAAUUCCCCAAUAAUAGGUGUGCGGCCUCAUGGGGAACUCUUUGGCCUGAACACCCUGGGAGAAGGAGAACAGGCUGAGGCGGACCACGAGGUGGAACAGCCCAGCGUGCCCGCGGUGAAACCCGACUCCAGCGAACUGCAAUAUACAAACAAUCAAUCAAUAAAUACACUUACCAA